GCAACACUUCCCUUCAAAGUCCUCCUGCAUCACAACAGUGAAAGAGACACAAAGUGUCCUAAUUCCUGGUAAAGCAAAUGGCUUCCCGCAAACCAAGAUCACGAUGUACAAAAAUGGACACCUGAUAGGAAGCAGAGAAGUACCAGCAAAAUUUGUUAUCGAACCUGAGCGUUCCGUAACCGCUUACAAGACAUGGGACACCGUGCUGCAAUGUGACAUCUUUGGGUACCCCUACCCAGUGAUCACAUGGACGAGAUCGGGCAGGCAGCUUCCCAUCAACAGUCAUGUUAUCAAUGGUUCCCGCCUUCCGAUUCAAAACACAACAGAGGACGAUUAUCUUUGUCAGGGAACCAACCGACCGGCAAAUGUCGUGAGAGUUGUAUGAAUCUUUGUCAAAGUUUUUGUGAAUUCCAACAUUGCAUCCAGUCCACCCAAUGAAAUAAAGGUGCCUUACAUUGGUGAUACUGUGACAUUAAACUAUUCCGCUG